UCGGCUUAGAGUUUGAUCAUGGCUCAGGACGAACGCUGGCGGCGUGCCUAAUACAUGCAAGUCGAACGAAUUGGUGCUUGCAUCAUUGAGUGGCGAACUGGUGAGUAACACGUGGGAAACCUGCCCAGAAGCGGGGGAUAACACCUGGAAACAGAUGCUAAUACCGCAUAACAACUUACCGCAUGGUCGAGUUUGAAAGAUGUUCGUAUCACUUUUGGAUGGUCCCGCGGCGUAUUAGCUAGAUGGUGAGGUAACGGCUCACCAUGGCAAUGAUACGUAGCCGACCUGAGAGGGUAAUCGGCCACAUUGGGACUGAGACACGGCCCAAACUCCUACGGGAGGCAGCAGUAGGGAAUCUUCCACAAUGGACGAAAGUCUGAUGGAGCAACGCCGCGUGAGUGAAGAAGGGUUUCGGCUCGUAAAACUCUGUUGUUAAAGAAGAACAUAUCUGAGGUAAUUCAGGUAUUGAUGGUAUUUAACCAGAAAGCCACGGCUAACUACGUGCCAGCAGCCGCGGUAAUACGUAGGUGGCAAGCGUUGUCCGGAUUUAUUGGGCGUAAAGCGAGCGCAGCGGUUUUUUAAGUCUGAUGUGAAAGCCUUCGGCUCAACCGAAGAAGUGCAUCGGAAACUGGGAAACUUGAGUGCAGGAGAGGACAGUGGAACUCCAUGUGUAGCGGUGAAAUGCGUAGAUAUAUGGAAGAA
rnacentral:rRNA from 1 species